rnacentral:rRNA from 1 species
UACGUAGGGUGCGAGCGUUGUCCGGAAUUAUUGGGCGUAAAGAGCUCGUAGGCGGUUUGUCGCGUCGGCCGUGAAAACUUGGGGCUUAACCCCAAGCCUGCGGUCGAUACGGGCAGACUUGAGUUCGGCAGGGGAGACUGGAAUUCCUGGUGUAGCGGUGAAAUGCGCAGAUAUCAGGAGGAACACCAGUGGCGAAGGCGGUGCUCUGGGCCGGAACUGACGCUGAGGAGCGAAAGCGUGGGGAGCAAACAGG